rnacentral:rRNA from 1 species
GAUGAACGCUGGCGGCGUGCUUAACACAUGCAAGUCGAACGGAAAGGCCACAGCUUGCUGUGGUACUCGAGUGGCGAACGGGUGAGUAACACGUGGGUGAUCUGCCCUGUACUUCGGGAUAAGCUUGGGAAACUGGGUCUAAUACCGGAUAGGAAUCACAUGUGGGUGUGUGGUUGGAAAGCUUUUGCGGUAUGGGAUGAGCUCGCGGCCUAUCAGCUUGUUGGUGGGGUAAUGGCCUACCAAGGCGUCGACGGGUAGCCGGCCUGAGAGGGUGUACGGCCACAUUGGGACUGAGAUACGGCCCAGACUCCUACGGGAGGCAGCAGUGGGGAAUAUUGCACAAUGGGCGCAAGCCUGAUGCAGCGACGCCGCGUGGGGGAUGAUGGCCUUCGGGUUGUAAACUCCUUUCGUCAGGGACGAAGCGAAAGUGUCGGUACCUGGAUAAGAAGCACCGGCUAACUACGUG